AGUGAACGCUGGCGGUAGGCCUAACACAUGCAAGUCGAACGGCAGCACAGUAAGAGCUUGCUCUUACGGGUGGCGAGUGGCGGACGGGUGAGGAAUACAUCGGAAUCUACUUUUUCGUGGGGGAUAACGUAGGGAAACUUACGCUAAUACCGCAUACGACCUACGGGUGAAAGCAGGGGAUCUUCGGACCUUGCGCGAUUGAAUGAGCCGAUGUCGGAUUAGCUAGUUGGCGGGGUAAAGGCCCACCAAGGCGACGAUCCGUAGCAGGUCUGAGAGGAUGAUCAGCCACACUGGAACUGAGACACGGUCCAGACUCCUACGGGAGGCAGCAGUGGGGAAUAUUGGACAAUGGGCGCAAGCCUGAUGCAGCCAUACCGCGUGGGUGAAGAAGGCCUUCGGGUUGUAAAGCCCUUUUGUUGGGAAAGAAAAGCAGCAGGUUAAUACCCCGCUGUUCUGACGGUACCCAAAGAAUAAGCACCGGCUAACUUCGUG
rnacentral:rRNA from 1 species